ACUCCUGCGGGAGGCAGCAGUGGGGAAUAUUGGACAAUGGGCGCAAGCCUGAUCCAGCCAUGCCGCGUGAGUGAUGAAGGCCCUAGGGUUGUAAAGCUCUUUCACCGGUGAAGAUAAUGACGGUAACCGGAGAAGAAGCCCCGGCUAACUUCGUGCCAGCAGCCGCGGUAAUACGAAGGGGGCUAGCGUUGUUCGGAUUUACUGGGCGUAAAGCGCACGUAGGCGGACUAUUAAGUCAGGGGUGAAAUCCCGGGGCUCAACCCCGGAACUGCCUUUGAUACUGGUAGUCUUGAGUUCGAGAGAGGUGAGUAGAAUUCCGAGUGUAGAGGUGAAAUUCGUAGAUAUUCGGAGGAACACCAGUGGCGAAGGCGGCUCACUGGCUCGAUACUGACGCUGAGGUGCGAAAGCGUGGGGAGCAAACAGGAUUAGAAACCCUGGUAGUCCC
rnacentral:rRNA from 1 species